GUUUCUGUGCCAUUACAUUUUAUACAAAUUAUACGCCAUAAAUUCGGUCUGUCGAUGGAUCAUUGUGUUUCAGCGAAUAACAAAAAAGGUCCCAACUCAUCCUGUGAUCCUCCGACUGUCGGACAAUCAUUAAAGCAGCGCCGCCGCUGGUAACAUUUUUAACAAACAUUGUAAAAGUGACAUUAUAACACUUUUUCUGAACAUUUCUCGUUUGGUUUUAUUUUUCGAUUUUUUUCGACAUUUCGCUCAUUUGUAAUGGAAUAUUGUUGUGUGUUUGUGUUUGCCUGGCGAGAAGUUCGUUUCGUAUAUGUAUAUGGUGGUAAACAUUUACUUUCAUUUCAUUUACAUAAAUAAAUUCGAACAACAGUG